rnacentral:rRNA from 1 species
CAGCCGCCACGGUAAUACGGAGGGUGCAAGCGUUAAUCGGAAUUACUGGGCGUAAAGCGCACGCAGGCGGUCUGUCAAGUCAGAUGUGAAAUCCCCGGGCUUAACCUGGGAACUGCAUUUGAAACUGGCAGGCUAGAGUCUUGUAGAGGGGGGUAGAAUUCCAGGUGUAGCGGUGAAAUGCGUAGAGAUCUGGAGGAAUACCGGUGGCGAAGGCGGCCCCCUGGACAAAGACUGACGCUCAGGUGCGAAAGCGUGGGGAGCAAACAGGAUUAGAGACCCCAGUAGUCCCUGUCUCUUAUAC